rnacentral:rRNA from 1 species
GUUUAAAGCAGGCUCACGCUUGAAUACAUUAGCAUGGAAUAAUGAAAUAGGACGUUUGAUUCUAUUUUGUUGGUUUCUAGGAUCGACGUAAUGAUUAAUAGGGAUAGUUGGGGGCAUUAGUAUUCAAUUGUCAGAGGUGAAAUUCUUGGAUUUAUUGAAGACUAACUACUGCGAAAGCAUUUUGCCAAGGAUGUUUUCAUUAAUCAAGAACGAAAGUUAGGGGAUCGAAGACGAUCAGAUACCGUCGUAGUCUUAACCAUAAACUAUGCCGACUAGGGAUCGGAUGAUGUUAAUUUUUUAAUGACUCAUUCGGCGCCUUACG